rnacentral:lncRNA from 1 species
CCAACAGCGUCACAUUGGAUCCCAACAGCAACACCCCAUCCCAACAGUGUGACUCUUGAAGGCGGCAUCGGAUCCCGACACAACACCUCAUCCCAACAGUGUAACAUCAGAUCCCAACACAGCAACACCUUAAUGCAACACCCCAUCCCAACAGUGCGACUCUUGAAGGCAGCGUUGGAUCCCAACGCAACGCCCCAUCCCAACAGUGCGACACUUGAAGGCGGCAUCGGAUCCCGACACAACGCCCCAUCCCAACAGCAAAACCCGAACGCAACACCCGAUCCCAACAGUGCGACUCUUGAAGGCAGCGUCGGAUCCCGAAACAACACCCCAUCCCAAGAGCGUAACAUUGGAUCCCCAUGCAACAACACCUGAAUGCGACACCCGAUCCCAAUGCGACACCCGAAUGCAACAGCCCAUCCCAACAGUGCCACACUUGAAGGCAGCGUUG